CGGGUUGUUGCUGGCCCCCAAACCGGGCACGUGCACGCCCUGUUUACGCAUCCACUCACACCUGUGCACCCUCUGUAGUUCUGUGGACCGGGAGACGUCGUCUUCCUUCCGUGGCUCUACGUCUUUACACACACGCCGUAGCGAAGUCUCAUGGAAUGUUUUUCGCGUUUAACGCAAUACAAUACAACUUUCAGCAACGGAUCUCUUGGCUCUCGCAUCGAUGAAGAACGCAGCGAAAUGCGAUAAGUAAUGUGAAUUGCAGAAUUCAGUGAAUCAUCGAAUCUUUGAACGCACCUUGCGCCCCUUGGUUAUUCCUCGGGGCAUGCCUGUUUGAGUAUCAUGAACACCUCAACUCUCGUGGUCUUCCAUGAUGAGCUUGGACUUUGGGGGUUUGCUGGCCCUGUGGCCRGCUCCUCUCAAACGAAUCAGCUUGCCAGUGUUUGGCGGCGUCACGGGUGUGAUAACCAUCUACGCUUGCGAUCGCCUGCCAGAUAACCCUCAGCGAUGAAGGUUCAUUGGGGCUYACAAAAGUCUCUCCACRGCGAGGACGAAUUUUGAAUGUUCGAUCUCAAAUCAGGUAGGACUACCCGCUGAACUUAAGCAUAUCAAUAAGCGGAGGAAAAGAAACUAACAAGGAUUCCCCUAGUAACUGCGAGUGAAGCGGGAAGAGCUCAAAUUUAAAAUCUGGCGUGCCUCCGGUCGUCCGAAUUGUAGUCUGGAGAAGCGUUUUCCGUGCUGGACCGUGUA
rnacentral:rRNA from 1 species